rnacentral:rRNA from 1 species
GAUGAACGCUGGCGGCGUGCUUAACACAUGCAAGUCGAACGGAAAGGCCCAAGCUUUCUUGGGUACUCGAGUGGCGAACGGGUGAGUAACACGUGGGUGAUCUGCCCUGCACUUCGGGAUAAGCCUUGGAAACUGGGUCUCAUACCGGAUAGGACCACAUUUUGGAUGGUGUUGUGGAAAGUUUUUCGGUGUGGGUUGAGCUCGCGGCCUAUCAGCUUGUUGGUGGGGUAAUGGCCUACCAAGGCGUCGACGGGUAGCCGGCCUGAGAGGGUGUACGGCCACAUUGGGACUGAGAGACGGCCCAGACUCCUACGGGAGGCAGCAGUGGGGAAUAUUGCACAAUGGGCGCAAGCCUGAUGCAGCGACGCCGCGUGGGGGAUGACGGCCUUCGGGUUGUAAACUCCUUUCGCUAGGGACGAAGCGUUAUGUGACGGUACCUGGAGAAGAAGCACCGGCUAACUACGUG